rfam:Erinaceus europaeus unplaced genomic scaffold scaffold00554, whole genome shotgun sequence
GGAUAUGAGGGUGAUCUGGCUGUGACAUCUGUCACCCCAUUGAUCGCCAGGGUUGAUUCAGCUGAUCUGGCUGACUAGGUGGGUGUCCCCUUCCUCCCUCAACGCUCCAUAUGCGUCCCUCCCAAAAGCUGCUGACGGCCUUCCCCAAUAGAGACGACCCGGUCAUCGGUCAUCGGUAGAGGGUAUACAAGUAGCUGCACUCCCCUGCUAGAACCUUCAAACAAGCUCUCAAGAAAAGCAAACUACAGAGGAAAGUAAAGUGCAGCCCUGUCUG